GUACUUGCUUCAGCAGCACAUGUACUAAAAUUGGAAUAACACAGUAAAGAUUAGCAUGCCCCUGUGUAAGGAUAAAAUAUAUGGGGGAGAUAUUAUACAUAUAUAU
ensembl:snRNA U6 U6 spliceosomal RNA